rnacentral:pre_miRNA from 1 species
GAUUUCAACUGAAAAAGUCAUCAACAACAAAGUUGUAUAACUCACCAAGAUGUAUAACUUUUAUGUUUGUCAUUUCUUCAUCCGGCAAAGUGUUGGUAACAUUGUUCAUAAAUUUUACAUAUCUAUGUUAUAGUUUAUAAAACCAGAUGAGAGAUAUAUGAAUUUUGUGAACAAUGUUACUAUCACUUUGUCGGAUGAAGAAAUUAUCAAAAUAAAAGUUAUAGACCUUUAUGAGUUAUACAACUUUGUUGUUGAUGAUUUUUUCAGUUGAAAUC